rnacentral:rRNA from 2 species
GCCGCGUGAGUGAAGAAGGGUUUCGGCUCGUAAAACUCUGUUGUUAAAGAAGAACACCUUUGAGAGUAACUGUUCAAGGGUUGACGGUAUUUAACCAGAAAGCCACGGCUAACUACGUGCCAGCAGCCGCGGUAAUACGUAGGUGGCAAGCGUUGUCCGGAUUUAUUGGGCGUAAAGCGAGCGCAGGCGGUUUUUUAAGUCUGAUGUGAAAGCCUUCGGCUUAACCGGAGAAGUGCAUCGGAAACUGGGAGACUUGAGUGCAGAAGAGGACAGUGGAACUCCAUGUGUAGCGGUGGAAUGCGUAGAUAUAUGGAAGAACACCAGUGGCGAAGGCGGCUGUCUAGUCUGUAACUGACGCUGAGGCUCGAAAGCAUGGGUAGCGAACAGGAUUA